rnacentral:rRNA from 1 species
UACGUAGGGUGCGAGCGUUAAUCGGAAUUACUGGGCGUAAAGCGUGCGUAGGUGGUUUGUUAAGUCUGCUGUGAAAGCCCUGGGCUCAACCUGGGAAUGGCGGUGGAUACUGACAAGCUAGAGUGCGGUAGAGGAGGGUGGAAUUCCCGGUGUAGCGGUGAAAUGCGUAGAGAUCGGGAGGAACAUCAGUGGCGAAGGCGGCCCUCUGGACCAGCACUGACGCUGAGGCACGAAAGCCAGGGGAGCAAACGGG